rnacentral:rRNA from 1 species
CCCCGCAUGGGGGCGCCGGGAAAGCCCUGACGGCGAGGGAUGGGCCCGCGGCCUGUUAGCUUGUUGGCGGGGUAACGGCCCACCAAGGCGAUUAUGGGUAGCCGGGUUGAGAGACCGACCGGCCAGAUUGGGACUGAGACACGGCCCAGACUCCUACGGGAGGCAGCAGUGGGGAAUCUUGCACAAUGGGCGAAAGCCUGAUGCAGCGACGCCGCGUGCGGGACGAAGGCCUUCGGGUUGUAAACCGCUUUCAGCAGGGACGAGGCCGCAAGGUGACGGUACCUGCAGAAGAAGCCCCGGCUAACUACGUGCCAGCAGCCGCGGUAAUACGUAGGGGGCGAGCGUUAUCCGGAUUCAUUGGGCGUAAAGCGCGCGUAGGCGGCCUGCUAGGUCGGGACUCAAAUCCGGGGGCUCAACCCCCGCCCGGUCCCGAUACCGACAGGCUUGAGUCUGGUAGGGGAAGGCGGAAUUCCAAGUGUAGCGGUGGAAUGCGCAGAUAUUUGGAAGAACACCGGUGGCGAAGGCGGCCUUCUGGGCCACGACUGACGCUGAGGCGCGAAAGCUAGGGGAGCGAACAGGA